UCAUAAAUCCAAAUAGCAAAAUUGUUAAUCAAUAAUACAAAUUCCUUUAUAGGUCCGAUUUCAGCAAAUUUUUUAAUUGAGUGUACAAAUUCUUUAUUUGGACAUAGUUGUUAAUUUUUCUAUGGAGAGCGGCCAAAACACCGUCGAUACUAUCGUCAAUAGUUAGGUUUUCGCAUCACCAAGUUAAAUUUGCGUGUUAAUUUGUGCCUCUUGCUAAAAAAAAUAUGUGUGAAAAAUUUAUUGAAAGAGUUAUAUGGAGAAAUGGAUCGCUUCCUUCAAAGAGGUAAACGUAGGAGCUCCAUCAAACUCAGUAUGUGGAGCGCUGAAAGGCAGGCAUGAGAUUGCAGCAGCACGGACUCGGAGAAAAAUUUGGCGACCGAGAGGCGAACACCAAAAAAGAAAAGUAAAAUCUUACAAAUAUGGAAAUACUUGAAAAGCUAUUUUCUUUUUGACAACACUGGUUAAAACAGCUCACGCACUGCCGCUGCAAGAGCUACCAAUGCAUCCAGAAAAAGUCACACUUUGGUGCGAUUUAUGGGCUGGUGGCAUCAUUGGACCGUACCUCUUCAAAGAUGAUGCGAAUCGUAAUGUGCCAUGGCGAGAGUUCACGUUGCGUCUUGCGAUUUAACGCCUUUAGACUAUUUUUUGUGGAGCUAUGAUAAAGCUCAUGUCUAUACAGACAAGUCCGCUUCAAUUGACGCACUGGAAGACAACAUGCCGGCCGAAAUGUUACAAAGAGUAUGCCAAAACUUUAAAUUAUAUGGACCGUACUAUCGAUUUAUAUAGAGAUUGUAUGUAUUUUUCUGAAUUUUGUUAUUUUUUUUUGAAAAAACUUCCUAUAGCUCUUAAAAAAUAACCCUUUAUUAGCUAUUGGUGGUCACUGCACAGUUCCAUAAAGAAAAUCUGUCAAAUAAACCUAAAAAGGUCAUAACAAAGAUUUGCUAAUGACUGUUUAACUAAACAGU